ensembl:snRNA U6 U6 spliceosomal RNA
GUGCUGCACAUAUAGUAAAAUUGGAAUGAUACAGAGAAGACGAGCUGUCCCCUGCACAAGGAUGACGUGCAAAUUUGAGAAACAUUCCAUACUUUU